CUCAGGAUGAACGCUAGCUACAGGCUUAACACAUGCAAGUCAGGGGCAGCAUAACGAAGCUUGCUUUGUGAUGGCGACCGGCGCACGGGUGAGUAACGCGUAUCCAACCUUCCCCUUAGUAGGGCAUAGCCCGGCGAAAGUCGGAUUAAUACCCUAUGUUAUCCGUCGAGGACAUCUGAAGUGGAUUAAAGAUUUAUCGCUAAGGGAUGGGGAUGCGUCUGAUUAGGUUGUUGGCGGGGUAACGGCCCACCAAGCCAUCGAUCAGUAGGGGUUCUGAGAGGAAGGUCCCCCACAUUGGUACUGAGACACGGACCAAACUCCUACGGGAGGCAGCAGUGAGGAAUAUUGGUCAAUGGGCGAGAGCCUGAACCAGCCAAGUAGCGUGCAAGGAUGACGGCCCUAUGGGUUGUAAACUGCUUUUGCAUGGGAAUAAAGUGAGGGACGUGUCCCUUUUUGUAUGUACCAUGAGAAUAAGGACCGGCUAAUUCCGUGCCAGCAGCUGC
rnacentral:rRNA from 1 species